rnacentral:rRNA from 1 species
UACGUAGGUGGCAAGCGUUGUCCGGAUUUACUGGGCGUAAAGAGCGCGCAGGCGGUCGAAUAAGUCGAAUGUGAAAGCCCCCGGCUUAACUGGGGAGGGUCAUUCGAUACUGCUCGACUUGAAGGCAGGAGAGGGUAGUGGAAUUCCCGGUGUAGUGGUGAAAUGCGCAGAUAUCAGGAGGAACACCGAUGGCGAAGGCAGGUCUCUGGGCAUUAACUGACGCUGAGGAGCGAAAGCAUGGGGAGCGAACAGG